AACAACAAUAAUUUAUUGCUCCAAUUUUCUUUUUUUUUUUCAUUCCAUAAUUUUUUUUUCGAGUUUUAAUGCAAUAAUUUUGUGUCUGUUUCGUGUACAUGUAAUUUUUUUUUCACAUAUAUUUUGGUGUCGGUUGGAAAUUUUGUUUCAUAUUACCAAACUGAAUGUUUUGAUCCAAAAACGAAAGAAAGAAAAAGAAACGGCGGCCAUGUAUUAUCAUCAUCAUCAUAUGUAUAAUAAUAAUCAUUGGUGAUUCGAAAUCUUUAUCUCCACCCAAAAAAAAUUUUUUUUUUGUAUGUUUAUGUUUAUGUCUGCUUUUUGUGUGUGUGUUUGUGUUUUUGUGUUAAUCAAAUGAUUCAUUGCCUCAUAUUGGAACACAUACAUUACGUCAAAUAAUAACCCGACAUUUUACCAUAUAAUCGAUUGAUUGGAAAAGUUUUCGAAAAGUUUUUCUUUUGACAGGCUUGCCAUUGAUGAUGAAGAUAAUUGGAAUGGCUAAAUUUACCACGACCAAUUGAAUAACAAACGAACAGACGGCCGAACGGAAGUGUACAGUGUUCGAAAUAAUAAAUGGCAAAAAAGAGUGGUAUAUCGUCAAAAUUGAUAAUACAUUGCUUCGUUUUUUUUCUUGGCUACAUGUUGCAUGAUGUGUUGUUUUUUUUAUAUAUUUAUAUACAUUGUUUGGACCAUAACCACAAUAUAACUGGAAAAAAAACAGGUUAAAACACGCGUGACCAAAUUGAAUAAUCAUCAUAAGUGUGGCAUAAAUGGCUAUUUGCACCACAGGCGGCAGCUUCAACAAUAAGAAAAUUGUUCCAUCAUCAUCAUCAUCAUCAUCAUCAUGUUGAUAUAAACAUUAUUGUGUAACAAUACAAGGAAGAAAAAAAUAAAGAAACAAACAAAUGAAAUAACGAGAAAAUAAAUGGCACACGUCGAAAAUGAUUUUAUUUUUAUUUGUUUGAAAUGAUUUUUUUUUUCAAACAAACAAACAAACAAACCACAAAUGAUUCUAACAACAUUUCUGAUGAAUAUGAUACUAACUGGUUUUUACAAACAAACAGCAACAAUAUUUGUUUUUUGAAUUUUGGCGCCAUUUUUUAUUAUUGUUAUGUCAUAAAUGUCGAUUCAGCCACAUUCGAUUUUUGUGUUGUUACCACCAAUGCGUUACCAUAAGAGGCCAUGAAUCAUGGAAUAGAAACAAAAUAAUUUUGUUCAUUUUCCGUUGUCAAUAUUGAAUUAUCUGAUUUUUAUUUUUUUUUUUUUUUUGCUAUUUUGCCAUCAAGAUUUUUAUUUCGUCCAUUUUUUUUUAAAUUUUACGAUACGAUUUUAACUUAACUUGUCUUAUAUACAUACGUUCACCUCAAUUGAAAAAUAAACCUCAACCAAAUGAAAAUGCCAUCAUCAUCAUCAUCAUCAGUGACAUCUAUAUUACCA